rnacentral:pre_miRNA from 1 species
UCAUGUCUGUGUGUGGAUAGUGUUCAGUACCAGGGACAGGUCAUGUUUGUGUAUGGAUAGUGUUCAGUACCAAGGACAGGUCAUGUUUGUGU